ensembl:lncRNA
AUAACGGAAGAUAACUCGUAUCAGAAACGAGAAAAGUCUUCAGCUGUUAGAGAAGCCCUAAGACUAGAUCCAAAGCGUGUGCGCACAGAAGAAAUGUUUGCAGCCAGCUUCCCAGAUGUUAAAGAGCAUCAAAACCACCCUGUUUUUGGAAAGGAAUCAAGAGACAUUCGGAACAUCAUGAAAGAGGUCAAGGCAGGAAACAGGUGCAGACCAUCAUAAUCUACAGGCCUUGGUAAACACAUGGAAAGAAGAGGGCUGUACCGUUGAGUACAGACCCUCUCAGGAGGAAGAGGAGGAGGAUGGUAGCGUGGUGAAGAUGCUGCUGUGCUUGCAGACGCCGUGGCAGAAGAGGCUUAUGCGACUGUAUGGACAGCAGAUGUGCUUACUGGAUGAAUCCUAUCGAGCUGGCAGAAAUUCACUGCCACUCUUCUUUCUGUGGGUGAGGACGAAUGUGAGCUACGCCGCUGUUGGAGUGUUUGUCACUCAGACAGAGACCAAAGAGGACAUCGCAGAAGCCUUGAAGGUGUUUCAGAAGUGGAAUUCAGACUGGAAUCCAUCACACUUCAUGGUGGACUUCUGUGAGGCGGAAAUCAGUGCUUUAGAGGAGGUGUUUAAGGGUUCUAAAGUGCUCCUCUGUGAUGUUCACCAAGAGAAGGCAUGGAUGGAGUGGAUAAGAAAAAAGGAGAAUGGUGUGACAUCUCAGGAAGAGGUUCUUAAACUUCUACAGGCCAUUGCAGAUUCUCAGACGAAUGAGGAGUUUGAGAACAACACUGUUACCCUCCAACAACAUCCAGACUGGCAGUCAAAUGAGAAGCUGAGAAGGUUCGUCAGCACAUGGCUAGUUCAUGCAGAGAGGUGGGUGAACAUGUUCGGAAAUGAGAACAUGCAUGUGGCUGCCUUCAAAAAUAAAGGUGUUAAAAGACAAAAGGAUGUCCUGAAGCAUUCACACCUAAAGGGACACAGAAACUGCAGUCUCAGCGAAACGCUUAUAGUCAUUAUGAACAACUUCCUGCCAAGAUCGUAUCAAAAGUAUGUUGAAUUGAAUAUCAAAUGCUCAAGUGGCUCUCGCAAAUACAGCACAAAUGUGCCUUAUUAUGCAGGAUACAGACCAAGAAUUAUGUCUCAACACAUUAUGAAAAGGCACCAAGAGUCGCUGCUCUUCAAUGCGAGUGACAUAACAUCUGCUGGAGAGAACGUCUUCAAUGUUCAGAGUCAAACUUCACUGGAAAAACAUCAGGUGAACUUUGUUCCUGGCUGGAGUUGGGAGAAUCUGAGCGCUGCGUACAGGAACAACCCUCUCUUCACGUUUGACGAGGUUUGCCUGGGACAGUCUACUACCCUUCCUUCUGAUCUUCAAGGCGAAGAGGCUCUGAAGAAGAAUCAGGAGAAAGAUAUUAGUCCAGAGAGUUGUCCGUCUCCUGCUGCUCCCUCAGAUCCCAUCCUGACCAAUCCUGAAGCAGAAAAAAGCGAGAAGUGCUGUAGCUUGUUGAAGGAGAUAUCAGAAUUGACAUGCCACAUACAGGAUGGGACCUUUCUAGAUUCAGUAACUGAUCGCCUUACGGAUCUGUUAACAGAUAUAAGGCGACACACUCCCCAUGAUGACAUCCUUGACCUUUCCUACGCCCCACCAUCCAAGAAAAUGUGUUCAGCAUCUGCAGAGCACCCAGAAUCAAUUAACACAGUUCCUCUGUAUCUGGAGAAGAUAAUGAGGGCAACCCCUACAAGUGACUUUUGAACUACAUUUUUAAGGUGUUACUUCCCUCAAUCGUGAUUUGUGGUUGUAAACAUAUUUGUCAUUAAAAUGCUUUAAUUUUUUGGAACAAUUGAGUUGUAAUUUCUGUUAUUCCGAUAUAACAUGAUUGAUGUAGCCUAACAAACCCUCAAGUAGUGUGAUAUCAUUGUCCUUUGCUUUCCUGACAAAAGUACCGUGCUGGUCAUUAAAAUAGGAAAAAAAGUGAAUUUUACUAAUGUGAAGAUUCUCUCUAUUGUACAGCGGAGUUCAAAUAUUUGGGGCCGGUAAGAUAUUUGAAUGUUUUUGAAAGAAUUCUCUUCUGCUCACCAAGGCUGCAUUUAUUUGAUACAGUAAAACAGGAAUAUUGUGAAAUAUUAUUACAGUUUAAAAUAACUGUUUUCUAUUGGAAUAUAUUUUUAAAUGUAAUUUAUUCCUGUGAUGCAAAGCUGAAUUUUCCAGCAUCAUUACUCCAGUCUUCAAUGUCACAUGAUCCUUCAGAAAUCAUUCUAAUAUACUGAUUUGCUGCUUAAGAAAUACAGGUGCUGGUCAUAUAAUUAGAAUAUCAUCAAAAAGUUGAUUUAUUUCACUAAUUCCAUUCAAAAAGUGAAACUUGUAUAUUAUAUUCAUUCAUUACACACAGACUGAUAUAUUUCAAAUGUUUAUUUCUUUUCAUUUUGAUGAUUAUAACUGACAACUAAGGAAAAUCUCAAAUUCAGUAUCUCAGAAAAUUAGAAUAUUACUUAAGACCAAUACAAAGAAAAGAUUUUUAAAAACUUUGGCCAACUGAAAAUUAUGAACAUGAAAAGUAUGAGCAUGUACAGCACUCAGUACUUAGUUGGGGCUCCUUUUGCCUGAAUUACUGCAGCAAUGCGGCGUGGCAUGGAGUCGAUCAGUCUGUGGCACUGCUCAGGUGUUAUGAGAGCCCAGGUUGCUCUGAUAGUGACCUUCAGCUCUUCUGCAUUGUUGGGUCUGGCAUAUCACAUCUUCC